ensembl:lncRNA RPS6KB2-AS1 RPS6KB2 antisense RNA 1
UGAUUCAGCCCUUUAAUCUUCCACGGGAGCAGUUGAGCGCGGGGCGUGGCGGGCGGCCCUCCGUGCCCAUGAUUCAGGGGCACAGCUGCCCCAGCAGACACACACUUUCAUACGCACUCACACCCCACCCCCAGACACACCCCCAGGUCUCUGGAACUGGCCCAGGGUCCUGCUGCUCUCACAGCCGCAGGGACAGGGCUCAAGGGCUACCCUCACCCCCACCCGGCUUCCUAGCGCCCUGGACGCCCACGGCCCCUCUUGGACUUCUUGGUCCCUGAGGGGGGACGGAUGGGGAGAGGGGCGGUGGUCGAGGGCGGCGGCGGUGGCAGGAGUGGAGGUAGAGGUAGAGUUUGCCACCAGUCUGGAAGGCAUAGGCCAGUUCCACAAUAAAGGGGUGCUUCACUGACUCUAGAAUGUUCCGCUCAGCCCGUGUGUGUGCUGUGUCCUUGGCAUUGCGCACAAUUUUGGCC